rnacentral:rRNA from 1 species
UACGUAGGGAGCAAGCGUUGUCCAGAAUCAUUGGGCGUAAAGCGCGCGUAGGCGGCCCCGUAAGUCCGCUGUGAAAGUCAAAGGCUCAACCUUUGAAAGCCGGUGGAUACUGUGGGGCUAGAGUACGGAAGAGGCGAGUGGAAUUCCGUGUGAGCGGUGAAUGCGCAGAUAUCAGGAGGAACACCAAUAGCGAAGGCAGCUCGCUGGGACGUUACUGACGCUGAGGCGCGAAAGCGUGGGGGAGCGAACAGG